rnacentral:lncRNA from 1 species
GUCGUGAUUCGCACUUUAGCGGCCACCUCAGUGCAGACGUCACUUUUUUUUCCAAAGAGUGACAGUCGAAGAGGCUCACGGGAGAUGCAAACGUGCAAUAAUCUGCAUUUAAGAAGUGGAUGUGCCACAUCGCAGAACACCAAGUUGCCACUAGUGGGAUCACCUGCUGCCCACCUGAUUCCAGCACAGUAGAUAGCUACACAUUUGAAUUAAAAGGGUCUCGCUGUGUCACCUAGUCUGGAAUGCAGUGGUGCAAU